rnacentral:rRNA from 1 species
CUCGAGCUACCAUGCACUCAACGGUAACAGGAAGCACUUGCUGCUUUGCUGACGAGUGGCGGACGGGUGAGUAGUGUCUGGGAAACUGCCUGAUGGAGGGGGAUAACUACUGGAAACGGUGGCUAAUACCGCAUAACGUCGCAAGACCAAAGAGGGGGACCUUCGGGCCUCUUGCCAUCAUAUGUGCCCAUAUGGGAUUAUCUUGUUGGUGAGGUAACGGCUCACCUGGGCGACGAUCCCUAUCUGGUCUGAGAGGAUGACCACCCACACUGGAACUGAGACACGGUCCACACUCCUACGGGAGGCAGCAGUGGGGAAUAUUGCACAGUGGGCGCAAGCCUGAUGCACCCAUGCCGCGUGUAUGAAAAAGGCCUUCGGGUUGUAAAGUACUUUCAGCGGGGAAGAAGGUGUUGUGGUUAAUAACCGCAGCAAUUGACGUUACCCGCAAAAGAAGCACCGGCUAACUCCGUGCCAGCACCCGCGGUAAUACGGAGGGUGCAAGCGUUAAUCGGAAUUACUGGGCGUAAAGCGCACGCACGCGGUCUGUCAAGUCAGAUGUGAUAUCCCCGGUCUCAACCUGAGAACUGCAUUCGAAACUGGCAGGCUUGAGUCUUGUAGAGGGGGGUAGAAUUCCGGGUGUAGCGGUGAUAUGCGUAGAGAUCUGGAGGAAUACCGGUGGCGAGCGCGGCCCCUGCACAAGACUGACGCUCAUGUGCGAAGCGUGGAGAGCAACAGGAUUAGAUCCUCUGAUACUCACGCCGUACACGAUGUCUACGUGAGUUGUGCCGUGACGCGUGCUCAGAGCUAACGCGUAAGUACACCCGCCUGGAGAAGCUACGGGCCCGAC